GGGGAGCGAAAUUUAGUAGCGAAGUAGCUGAUUUCACACUGUCAAGAAAAGUCUCUAUCGAGGUUAAAGGUACCCGUACCGCAAACCGACACAGGUGGGUGAGGAGAGUAUCCUAAGGCCAGCGAGAGAACUGUUGUUAAGGAACUCGGCAAAAUGACCCCGUAACUUAGGGAUAAGGGGUGCCACCAUCAGGUGGCCGCAGAGAAUAGGCCCAAGCGACUGUUUACCAAAAACAUAGGUUUCUGCUAAGUCGCAAGACGAUGUAUAGGAGCUGACGCCUGCCCGGUGCUGGAAGGUUAAGGGGAUCUGUUAGAGCAAUCGAAGCAGUGAACUUAAGCCCCAGUAAACGGCGGCCGUAACUAUAACGGUCCUAAGGUAGCGAAAUUCCUUGUCGGGUAAGUUCCGACCCGCACGAAAGGCGUAACGAUUUGGGCACUGUCUCAACAACAGACUCGGUGAAAUUGUAAUUCCGGUGAAGAUGCCGGAUACCUGCGACAGGACGGAAAGACCCCAUGGAGCUUUACUGUAGCUUGACAUUGGGUCUUGGUACUACAUGUACAGGAUAGGUGGGAGGCUUUGAAACCAGGACGCCAGUUUUGGCGGAGCCAUCCUUGGGAUACCACCCUUGUAGUACUGGGACUCUAACCAUAGGCCAUGAAUCUGGUCUUGGGACACUGUCAGGUGGGCAGUUUGACUGGGGCGGUCGCCUCCCAAAAGGUAACGGAGGCGCUCAAAGGUUCUCUCAGUACGGUCGGAAAUCGUACGUAGAGUGUAAAGGCAAAAGAGAGCUUGAUUGCAAGACAUACAGGUCGAGCAAGGAUGAAAAUCGGACUUAGUGAUCCGGUGGUUCUGCGUGGAAGGGCCAUCGCUCAACGGAUAAAAGCUACCCUGGGGAUAACAGGCUUAUCUCCCCCAAGAGUCCACAUCGACGGGGAGGUUUGGCACCUCGAUGUCGGCUCAUCACAUCCUGGGGCUGUAGUAGGUCCCAAGGGUUGGGCUGUUCGCCCAUUAAAGUGGUACGCGAGCUGGGUUCAGAACGUCGUGAGACAGUUCGGUCCCUAUCCGUCGCAGGCGUAGGAAAUUUGAGAAGACCUGUCCUUAGUACGAGAGGACCGGGAUGGACG
rnacentral:rRNA from 1 species